UAAUACACUAACUGUAACCCGCUCUGGAUAAGAGCGUCUGCUAAAUGCCUAAAA
rfam:Salmo salar isolate Sally breed double haploid chromosome ssa23, whole genome shotgun sequence.